CUGCAGCCAGUGAGGCCCAUGGUGCUCCUUUCCUCUCGGGCCCAACGUGCAACCGCUGCAAACAGCCCCCUUGACAGUGUACGCAGCCUGUGGCUUCUGCGAGUUGCUCGAAGGGACCCUGGAGACAGCC
ensembl:snoRNA SNORA70 Small nucleolar RNA SNORA70